rnacentral:tRNA from 1 species
GGAGAGAUGCCGGAGCGGCUGAACGGACCGGUCUCGAAAACCGGAGUAGGGGCAACUCUACCGGGGGUUCAAAUCCGUCACACUUGG